GAUGAACGCUGGCGGCGUGCUUAACACAUGCAAGUCGAACGGAAAGGCCCAGCUUUUGUGGGGUGCUCGAGUGGCGAACGGGUGAGUAACACGUGAGUAACCUGCCCUUGACUUUGGGAUAACUUCAGGAAACUGGGGCUAAUACCGGAUAGGAGCUCCUGCUGCAUGGUGGGGUUUGGAAAGUUUCGGCGGUUGGGGGUGGACUCGCGGCUUAUCAGCUUGUUGGGGGGGUAGUGGCUUACCAAGGCUGUGACGGGUAGCCGGCCUGAGAGGGUGACCGGCCACAUGGGGACUGAGAUACGGCCCAGACUCCUACGGGGGGCAGCGGGGGGGAAUAUGGCACAAUGGGCGGAAGCCUGAGGCGGCAACGCCGCGUGCGGAAUGACGGCCUUCGGGUGGUAAACCGCUUUCGCCUGUGACGAAGCGUGUGUGACGGUAAUGGGAAAAGAAGCACCGGCUAACUACGUG
rnacentral:rRNA from 1 species